UACAGAGGGUGCAAGCGUUGUUCGGAAUUACUGGGCGUAAAGCGUGCGUAGGUGGUUUGUUAAGUCUGUUGUGAAAGCCCCGGGCUCAACCUGGGAAUGGCAAUGGAUACUGGCAAGCUAGAGUGCGGUAGAGGGUAGUGGAAUUCCCGGUGUAGCGGUGAAAUGCGUAGAGAUCGGGAGGAACACCAGUGGCGAAGGCGGCUACCUGGACCAGCACUGACACUGAGGCACGAAAGCGUGGGGAGCAAACAGG
rnacentral:rRNA from 1 species